rnacentral:rRNA from 1 species
CUGGUUCGGCGCACUUGGCCCGUCUCGGUUUACGGGAUUGCGUGCCGGUGUGCGCCAUCCAUCCUUCGAGAGAACACUUCUACCCUCACGGGCUGGAGUGCUAUCUCGAUCUUUUACUUUGAAAAAAUUAGAGUGUUUAAAGCAGGCUUGCGCUAUGAAUACAUUAGCAUGGAAUAAUAAUUUAGGACUUUGGUCUUAUUUUGUUGGUUUCUAGGACUAAAGUAAUGAUUGAUAGGGACAGUUGGGGGUGCUAGUAUUCAGCGGCCAGAGGUGAAAUUCUUGGAUUCGCUGAAGACUAACUUAUGCGAAAGCAUUC